GACAGAGGUGCCGAGCGUUAGGCGGAAUCACUGGGCUUAAAGCGUGUGUAGGCGGGCGAUCAAGUACCUUGUGAAAUCCCACGGCUCAACCGUGGAACCGCUGGGUAUACUGGUUGUCUUGAGCCGGCUAGGGGCGAGCGGAACAGACGGUGGAGCGGUGAAAUGCGUAGAUAUCGUCUGGAACGCCGAAGGUGAAAACAGCUCGCUGGGGCCGCGCUGACGCUGAGACACGAAAGCCAGGGGAGCAAACGGG
rnacentral:rRNA from 1 species